GACGAACGCUGGCGGCGUGCUUAACACAUGCAAGUCGAACGGAAAGGCCCUGCUUGCAGGGUACUCGAGUGGCGAACGGGUGAGUAACACGUGGGUGAUCUGCCCUGCACUUCGGGAUACGCCUGGGAAACUGGGUCUAAUACCGGUAAGGAGCCAUUUUUAGUGUGAGGGUUGGAAAGAUUUUUCGGUGUAGGAUGAGCUCGCGGCCUAUCAGCUUGUUGGUGGGGUAAUGGCCUACCAAGGCGGCGACGGGUAGCCGGACUGAGAGGGUGGACGGCCACCUUGGGUCCGACAGGCGGCCGAGACUCCGACGGGAGGCAGCAGUGGGGAAUAUUGAACAAUGGGCGCAAGGCUGAUGCAGCGACGCCGCGUGGGGGAUGACGGCCUUCGGGUUGUAAACGCCUUGCGCGAGGGACGAAGCUUUUUGUGACGGUACCUAGAGAAGAAGCACCGGUUAACUACGUG
rnacentral:rRNA from 1 species